rnacentral:rRNA from 1 species
UAUUGGACAAUGGGCGAAAGCCUGAUCCAGCAAUGCCGCGUGAGUGAUGAAGGCCUUAGGGUUGUAAAGCUCUUUUACCCGGGAUGAUAAUGACAGUACCGGGAGAAUAAGCUCCGGCUAACUCCGUGCCAGCAGCCGCGGUAAUACGGAGGGAGCUAGCGUUGUUCGGAAUUACUGGGCGUAAAGCGCACGUAGGCGGCUUUGUAAGUUAGAGGUGAAAGCCCGGAGCUCAACUCCAGAAUUGCCUUUGAUACUGCAUCGCUUGAAUCCAGGAGAGGUGAGUGGAAUUCCGAGUGUAGAGGUGAAAUUCGUAGAUAUUCGGAAGAACACCAGUGGCGAAGGCGGCUCACUGGACUGGUAUUGACGCUGAGGUGCGAA